GCCAGUGUGGCAUAGUGGUUUGAGCAUUGGACUAUGAUUCUGAAGACCAGGUUUCAAUUCCCAACGUGGCCA